UACGGGGGGGGCAAGCGUUGUUCGGAAUUACUGGGCGUAAAGGGCUCGUAGGUGGCCAACUAAGUCAGACGUGAAAUCCCUCGGCUUAACCGGGGAACUGCGUCUGAUACUGGAUGGCUUGAGUUUGGGAGAGGGAUGCGGAAUUCCAGGUGUAGCGGUGAAAUGCGUAGAGAUUUGGAGGAACACCAGUGGCGAAGGCGACUUUCUGGUCUGUAACUGACACUGAGGCGCGAAAGCGUGGGGAGCGAACAGG
rnacentral:rRNA from 1 species